GACCCGCUGCGGGUGUGUGCUUUGUGACAACGAGAUUCAGCUUUGAAAUCAUCCCCUUGUUGCAAACCUCACGCUUGCGGUGGGGG
rnacentral:pre_miRNA from 14 species